ACAAUGCACUCACGUGCGAUGGGGCUAUCUCGAGUGCCACCUGAUGAAGGUGGCUUUUCCUAGGUCUUCAAAGCCUUGGGAAUAAGAGGGGGGCAAGACUGGUGUCAGCCGCCGCGGUAACACCAGCCCCUCGAGUGGUGGGGAUGAUUAUUUGGCCUAAAGCGUCCGUAGCCGGCCGAGCAAGUCUUCCGUUAAAUCCAGCGUCUCGAGCGUUGGACCGCGGGAGAUACUACACGGCUAGAGAGUGGGAGAGGUCAGCGGUAUUCUGGGGGUAGGGGCGAAAUCCUUUGAUCCCCGGAGGACCACCAGUGGCGAAGGCUGCUGACUAGAACACGUCUGACGGUCAGGGACGAAAGCUGGGGUAGCGAACCGGAUUAGACACCCGGGUAGUCCCAGCUGUAAACGAUGCGGGCUAGGUGUUGGGGCAGCUACGAGCUGCUCCAGUGCCGCAGAGAAGUCAUUAAGCCCGCCGCCUGGGAAGUACGGUCCAAGACUGAAACUUUA
rnacentral:rRNA from 1 species